CUGCAGCUGGCGACCUGUCUCCUGAGCUGGCCUGAUUACAACCAAUCAAAAGAAGUGUGCAGCUUUUCAAGAGAUGGAAAAGGAACGAAACUUGCACCUGGCCCUUGAAUAAAUCUGGGUGAUUUAGGAUCCCAUACCAGGAAAUCCGAUCUCUCUUCAUGAAUCCUGUUCUAAGACAAACAUACAGACCAAGGCAACAGCAGGGCCUCCAAUUAUCGUGCCAUUUUAUGGGAACAGAAACUUUGCUUAAAAUGUAGGACAUCGUUCUUCCCCAAUUAGUCAUAACUGCUGGGGAUGAUGGAAGCGUUAACCCAACACUUUUGCAAAGCACUGGUUUGGCACAAAGUUAUCUUAAAAGAAGACAAUUAUAUUCUAUUAUAGGUAAGGCAUUUUUUCAGUUGCUUGUAAGUUUACACAUUUUUUGAAACUAAAACAGGAAAUAGAAUGAAGUAUUCCCUCUAAAAUCCUAUGUAUUCUUUUUUCCUACUAAAUUCCAAUGUAUUGUUAAGAUGGGACUGUUCCAACACAAGAUCUUAACGGCUGAUAUAUGGUUGCAAAUGAUGAUUCAUAGCAAAACUUUCAGGUUUAUUGCCUACCUAAAUCUGCAAAAACUGGGAAGCUGCAGGUUAUAUUACAUAUUAGAUGAAUUCCAGAAUUGUGAACCAUUAAACCAAAGUACUUUAAUAAAUCCAGACAAGAACCAAAGAAAUGAUUGCCUUUGCCAUCCAAGGAACAUGGCAUUUGCUCAACUCCUGCACUAUUUUUAAUACUCAAGAAUACAUGGGAGUCAAAUACAGUUGCAUCUCUAAAUUAGAACAAACUUACUCAAAUCCAUUCAAAUUUAAGUUGCAUUGAUUCAGUUGAUCUCUAGUUUUUUAUCAGCCACUGGAUUAGAUGUUACAUUACAUAUUGUGGGGCAUACUGAUUUUAUUGUGCUACUUUCCUAUAUAUGUAACUCAAAUUGCACUACAACUGAGAUUUACAUUAUGGUAAAUAUUGUUAUGUUGGACAGGGGAAGUUUUUCCAGCACUA